rnacentral:tRNA from 1 species
GGAGAGGUGUCCGAGCGGUCGAAGGAGCGCGCCUGGAAAGCGCGUGUACGGUACCCGCCGGGUCAAUCCCUCCCUCUCCGCCA